UCGGGCGGUGCGAGGCCGUGAACCACCACCCAAGCACCAGCACCGGGGCGGUGCCCUGCAACCCGCAGCAGAUCUGCCACAGCCUCCGGCGGCCGAAAAGGAUUAACAUCAGGCGCGCAACCCAUCACACUCCAAGGAACAAGGUGCAUCGGCCAGAUCCGCCGUCGAGAAAACGACCUCCAACAUCGCCUCGCUACCCUGCAGCCUCGACGUGUCCAACGCCGGCCACCUCGACGACUCCGCCUCCUCAAGGACGGCCUCCACCAACGCCCUAAUACCCAGAAACGACGCCAUCGCUGCCUCUCGGCGAUUCCCCUAUCAGUGGGGACGCAACGACGGGAGGAUGAGGCAAGCCCCCGCGCAUCAAUUGCAGAGAGCCUCGUGAUGCAGGAACUGCUGUUGCCAGUGAGGGAUGCAAGAAUCUAAGUUGUUUGGCAAUACUCUAACAAGGAAGAGUUCUACAACAACAACAAGAAAGGAAAACUGCAGUUGGUUCAAAUUCCAGACUGCACUAGGUGUUUCGUUGUAGCUGUUUUGUAGUACUAUUGAUUAACUGCCACUGUUUUUUCUGAUUUUUAUGCCUUUUGUAGGUGAAAAAGUAAUAGACUGAUUAUUGGUGAUAGGAGAUAUCUGCAUGUCAGCCACGUUGAGUGACCUUCAGAUAAUGCUCACCUUCUGGGGAAGCUUACUUUAGGAAUUUUGCUUUGGACAGACAUAAUAUGCUCCAAGAUUUCAUGUAAGUUAACCCUUUUUGUCGUUAGCAAUCAGUUGUGACAACUUAAAAUUCUAUGAUGGAAAUUCGUUCCACAAAGUUAUUUAAUAUUCCGAAUCA